rnacentral:rRNA from 1 species
UACGGGGGGAGCAAGUGUUGUUCGGAUUUACUGGGCGUAAAGGGCGCGUAGGCGGCCACCGCAAGUCGACAUGUGAAAUCUCCGGGACUUAACCCGGGAAAGGUCACCGAUAACCUGCGGGGCUAGAGUGACAGAAGGGGCAACUGGAAUUCUCGGUGUAGCGGUGAAAUGGCGUAGAUAUCGGGAGGAACACCAGUGGCGAAGGCGACUACCUGGCCUGUUCGUUGACGCUGAGGCGGCGAAAAGCUAGGGGAGCAAACGGGG